rfam:Cricetulus griseus cell line CHO-K1, whole genome shotgun sequence.
UUUCCAGUCAGGCUUCUGGCUAAGUCCAGCUUUUAGCUGGACUUAGGCAAAGCCUGGCUGUUAA